rnacentral:lncRNA from 10 species
GGCGCUCGCGCCCGUGCCCGCGCAACCUAGCCUGCUGGCCGGGGGGCGGGGCGAGCGAGCCGCGGCGCUUCCGCUUUACACGCCCCAGCCGGCGACCGGUUCCAUCUGGCUCGGGCCACUCUGACACCUUUAGUUUCGGCAAGGGAUAUUGGGGUGGCGAAGGGGAGGCGGGGGCCCGAAGGCUUCGGAAAACGAUGGGGGAGGGGGCAGAGGAUACCCGUCGAAGCCCCCCCCUCCCCCAACAUUUCGAUAUUGGAAUCACUUUCCUUCUUCCUCGGGCCAGCCUUUGCUCUGUCCCCUCAGGUCAACUCAAGGUAGACAGUGUGGCGACUGGAGAGGUCGGGGAACAAGCUUUGUUUCAGCUAAGGGGAAAACAAGCGUUCACAGGAGUCCCCUGACACCUCCCACUCGGAAGAUAGCUAACGGGGGUCCUGCCAACCCUUCCCAUCCAACUUCCAUCUGAAAAGGAUUUUCUGCUAAAGUUGGGUCCAUGGCCAUCCAGCACCUGUAAGGCCGGCAGGAGCGUCUGCCCUCUACUCAGUUAAAGCCUGAAGUCGUUUCCUUUCGAUGGCCCUUAGGAGGCCCAAAAGAGGGGCGACAGAACAUGAUGUUGACACGGGCUGGGCGCCCCCAGAAGCCCGGGAACAAACGUUUCUACUUUCCAGGUCCACUGGUGUUUGGUGUACCCAUGUGACUAAUUUGUCCAAAGAGAGAUUUCUGUGAAUAGACCAGAAGCCGACCUUUACAGUGUGUUUGGGUGCAGGUGAGGCUGAUUUGAGGCAAAUGUGCUUUACAGAUCUACAAUCUUAUACCUCACUCUGGCUGAAGCACCAGUCCCCAAGUGCAGACUUCUUGCCUGUUUCCCGUGUAACACUGUCCAACUCUGAAGGCUCCUACCCUGACCUUGGCCCUUGCUAUUUUCUUCAGUGGUUCUGAUGAUGGAAGAAUCAGAAGUGCCUGGUGUAUACUGGAAAUAGGGUGGGUGGGGGGGGGGUGGCGUGUAUAUUUUCGGGGAGUAUUUUUCCUUUUUAUCAUCUCUAUUCUAACUGUUUUCUCUGGGCACAGCUUUGCUCUAAUUAUAGCAAAGGCUAAACAAGGUGAACUUCAGUCUAGGAAUUUUUAGUUCUAUAAUUUUAUGAGAGAGAAGACUUUUUCAAAUAAUUUCCUUGCUUAUUGGUUACUUUUUAACCUGCUUUGUGGGAUCCAUGCAGUUAAUUGAUUAAUCAUCUAAUUAUUACUGGCAUGGUUAUGGAUGUUACUUACAAUCUCAAGGCUUAUUUUCCUGCAAGUGGGCA